ensembl:lncRNA
GGAGGGGUUGUGUAAUAGAGGAAUAGAGAUGGAGGGGUUGUGUAAUACAGGAAUAGAGAUGGAGGGGUUGUGUAACAGAGGAAUAGAGAUGGAGGGGGUUGUAGGAAUAGAGAUGGAGGGGUUGUGUGAGGAAUAGAGAUGGAGGGGUUGUGUAACAGAGGAAUAGAGAUGGAGGGGUUGUGUAAUAGAGGAAUAGAGAUGGGGGGGUUGUGUAACAGAGGAAUAGAGAUGGAGGGGUUGUGUAACAGAGGAAUAGAGAUGGGGGGGUUGUGUAAUAGAGGAAUAGAGAUGGAGGGGUUGUGUAACAGAGGAAUAGAGAUGGGGGGUUGUGUAACAGAGAAAUAGAGAUGGAGGGGUUGUGUAACAGGAAUAGAGAUGGAGGGGUUGUGUAACAGAGGAAUAGAGAUGGAGGGGUUGUGUAACACAGGAAUAGAGAUGUAGGGGUUAUGUAAUCGAGGAAUAGAGAUGGAGGGGUUGUGUAAUAUAGGAAUAGAGAUGGGGGGUUGUGUAAUAUAGGAAUAGAGAUGGGAGGGGUUGUGUAACAGAGGAAUGGAGAUGGAGGGGUUGUGUAACAGAGGAAUAGAGAUGGAGGGUUGUGUAACAGAGGAAUAGAGAUGGGGGGUUGUGUAAUAGAGGAAUAGAGAUGGAGGGGUUGUGUAACAGAGGAACAGAGAUGGGGGUUGUGUAACAGAGGAAUAGAGAUGGAGGGGUUGUGAGGAAUAGAGAUGGAGGGGUUGUGUAACAGAGGAACAGAGAUGGAGGGAUUUUGUAAUACAUGAAUAGAGAUGGAGGGGUUGUGUAAUCGAGGAAUAGAGAUGGAGGGGUUGUGUAAUAGAGGAAUAGAGAUGGGGGUUUUUGUAAUAGAGGAAUAGAGAUGGGGGG